UGGGGGAUAUUGCACAAUGGGCGAAAGCCUGAUGCAGCGACGCCGCGUGGGGGAUGAAGGCCUUCGGGUUGUAAACUUCUUUUGCUCUGAACAAGGCGCACCAUGGGGUGUGUUGAGUGUAGGGGUUGAUUAGCGCCGGCUAACUACGUGCCAGCAGCCGCGGUAAUACGUAGGGCGCGAGCGUUGUCCGGAAUUAUUGGGCGUAAAGGGCUUGUAGGUGGCUGGUUGCGUCUGUCGUGAAAGCUCAUGGCUUAACUGUGGGUUUGCGGUGGGUGCGGGCUGGCUUGAGUGCAGUAGGAGAGGCUGGAAUUCCUGGUGUAGCGGUGGAAUGCGCAGAUAUCAGGAGGAAUACCGGUGGCGAAGGCGGGUCUCUGGGCUGUUACUGACACUGAGGAGCGAAAGCAUGGGGAGCGAACAGG
rnacentral:rRNA from 1 species